AUUUAAGGGAGACUGUUGGAUAUGUAUGGAGCUAAUGGACUCAUCUUUAGACAAAUGUUAUAAGUUUGUGUAUGAGAAAAUGAAUCAGACAAUCCCAGAGUUUAUCUUAGGAAAAAUUACUGUAGCAACCGUCAAUGCCCUUAACUACCUAAAGGAGAAGCUAACAAUUAUUCACAGAGCCAGAAAGAAUUGACCCUAGCCAGGCAAGAGGAUAUGAUGUCCGUUCUGAUGUGUGGAGCCUGGGGAUAACUCUGAUUGAAGUAGCUACAGGAAGGUUUCCUUAUCCAAAGUGGGACAGUGUCUUCGAACAACUCACUCAAGUUGUACAGGGAGAACCACCUCAGUUAAGGCACUAUGAGAAUGGAAGGAUCUUUUCCAACGAUUUUGUGGCCUUUGUAAACACAUGUUUAAUCAAAGAUGAACAACAUCGACCUAAGUACAAGAAAUUGUUGGAACACCAGUUUAUACAGCGGUCUGAACGGGAAAGUGUGGACAUGGCAGGUUACUUUGCUUUUAUCCUCAAUAAAAUGGAAUGCAGCAGUUAAGGAGAUAUUUUCAUGGACUUUUGUGUAUAUGGUAAAAUACGGAAGAAGUACCAGGUAUUGGAGAUGGGUGGAUAAAUUCGGCUGUACUUUGAACUGGAAUGCCACCUGGCCAAUACGCUGGUGUCCAACCCAUGGAAAUUUAAACUUUGUUAUAUAAAUCUACAAUUGAAUAUUUUCUUACACAUUGGAGGUGAUUCUGAGAUCUAAUUUAUCUCAACAUACUUGCAAAUUUCAAUAAUUCAUCAGUAGUUGAGGCCAAGAAAUGUGGUGGAAAAUAUUAGUUAAUGUAUUGUUUGUAUAAUUAACAUGAUACUAGAAGUUGUUGCGGUUAACUGUGUUAAAUUCUGAAUAUGGUCCAAACUUUCCUAGUCAAUACAUAUUGACUGGAAGGAUGAAGUUUGACAGUUUACAGCCUAUAGGUGGAACAAAUUAGUUGACUCAUUCAAAGUGAAGCCCAAAUUGUGAAAUAUUAAUGCAGAUUUUGAACUUGUUGCAACUGAAAAAAAUGUGAUUUUUUUUUUAAUCCUUGAAUAAACGAGUGUACCAAUUA